rnacentral:rRNA from 1 species
AGAGUUUGAUCCUGGCUCAGGAUGAACGCUAGCUACAGGGCUUAACACAUGCAAGUCGAGGGGCAGCAUGAACUUAGCUUGCUAAGUUUGAUGGCGACCGGCGCACGGGUGAGUAACACGUAUCCAACCUGCCGAUGACUCGGGGAUAGCCUUUCGAAAGAAAGAUUAAUACCCGAUGGCAUAGUUCUUCCGCAUGGUGGAACUAUUAAAGAAUUUCGGUCAUCGAUGGGGAUGCGUUCCAUUAGGUUGUUGGCGGGGUAACGGCCCACCAAGCCUUCGAUGGAUAGGGGUUCUGAGAGGAAGGUCCCCCACAUUGGAACUGAGACACGGUCCAAACUCCUACGGGAGGCAGCAGUGAGGAAUAUUGGUCAAUGGACGAGAGUCUGAACCAGCCAAGUAGCGUGAAGGAUGACUGCCCUAUGGGUUGUAAACUUCUUUUAUAAAGGAAUAAAGUCGGGUAUGGAUACCCGUUUGCAUGUACUUUAUGAAUAAGGAUCGGCUAACUCCGUGCCAGCAGCCGCGGUAAUACGGAGGAUCCGAGCGUUAUCCGGAUUUAUUGGGUUUAAAGGGAGCGUAGAUGGAUGUUUAAGUCAGUUGUGAAAGUUUGCGGCUCAACCGUAAAAUUGCAGUUGAUACUGGA